UACGUAGGGUGCGAGCGUUAAUCGGAAUUACUGGGCGUAAAGCGUGCGCAGGCGGUUCGCCAAGUCAGGUGUGAAAUCCCCGGGCUUAACCUGGGAAUUGCGCUUGAAACUAGCGGGCUUGAGUGUGGCAGAGGGGGGUGGAAUUCCACGUGUAGCAGUGAAAUGCGUAGAUAUGCGGAGGAACACCGAUGGCGAAGGCAAUCCCCUGGACCUGUACUGACGCUCAUGCACGAAAGCGUGGGGAGCAAACAGG
rnacentral:rRNA from 1 species